CCUGGUGGCGAGUGGCGAACGGGUGAGUAAUAUAUCGGAACGUACCUUAUCGUGGGGGAUAACGCAGCGAAAGCUGCGCUAAUACCGCAUACGCCCUGAGGGGGGAAAGCGGGGGACCGUAAGGCCUCGCGCGAUUAGAGCGGCCGAUAUCUGAUUAGCUUGUUGGUGGGGUAAAAGCCCACCAAGGCGACGAUCAGUAGCUGGUCUGAGAGGACGAUCAGCCACACUGGGACUGAGACACGGCCCAGACUCCUACGGGAGGCAGCAGUGGGGAAUUUUGGACAAUGGGGGCAACCCUGAUCCAGCAAUGCCGCGUGAGUGAAGAAGGCCUUCGGGUUGUAAAGCUCUUUUGUCAGGGAAGAAACAGCAGCUCUAACACAGUCUGCGAAUGACGGUACCUGAAGAAUAAGCACCGGCUAACUACGUGCCAGCAGCCGCGGUAAUACGUAGGGUGCAAGCGUUAAUCGGAAUUACUGGGCGUAAAGCGUGCGCAGGCGGUUAUACAAGACAGGCGUGAAAUCCCCGGGCUUAACCUGGGA
rnacentral:rRNA from 1 species